rnacentral:rRNA from 1 species
CAGCAGGCGCGAAAACUUUACAAUGCGGGAAACCGUGAUAAGGGGACACCGAGUGCCAGCAUCAUAUGCUGGCUGUCCAGGUGUGCAAAAUACACCUGUUAGCAAGGGCCGGGCAAGACCGGUGCCAGCCGCCGCGGUAACACCGGCGGCCCGAGUGGUGAUCGUGAUUAUUGGGUCUAAAGGGUCCGUAGCCGGUUUGGUCAGUCCUCCGGGAAAUCUGACAGCUUAACUGUUAGGCUUUCGGAGGAUACUGCCAGACUUGGAACCGGGAGAGGUAAGAGGUACUACAGGGGUAGGAGUGAAAUCUUGUAAUCCCUGUGGGACCACCUGUGGCGAAGGCGUCUUACCAGAACGGGUUCGACGGUGAGGGACGAAAGCUGGGGGCACGAACCGGAUUAGAUACCCGGGUAGUCCCAGCCGUAAACGAUGCUCGCUAGGUGUCAGGCAUGGCGCGACCGUGUCUGGUGCCGCAGGGAAGCCGUGAAGCGAGCCACCUGGGAAGUACGGCCGCAAGGCUGAAACUUAAAGGAAUUGGCGGGGGAGCACAAGGGCGAAUGC